rnacentral:lncRNA from 1 species
UGACACCCCAAUAGUCCCACAUCGGAUGGGAAUGGGGUUGUCAUUGGGUUUAUAAGAGACUUAGACACUAGUAAUAAUAACUGGGUUUAAGCAUUUUGGGCCGGUUGUUGGGCCCAACGAGUUAUUGUUGCUAGUGGGCUGGGUCGUUACAUUUGGUAUCAGAGCCGGUUCACCAGCUGGACAUGUGUGGCGGGUUUCGGCUGAGCCAGGGUCUGGAUGACGGGCUAACGAGACGAGUCUCACAUCGCCUGGUGAUCUUGGACUGUGUGUGUGAUUGGGCUGGGUCGUUACAUAUUAUCUUGGUAAUAAAAUAUGUAUUAUAUAUAAUAGUUAUAAAAGUGAGAGGGGUGAAAUGAGUAUUUUAGCCAUAUUUUUUUUGAAAUACAGGUAGUAUGGAUAAUUUUGAUAAUUUUACUAAAUUUGAAGAGUAUUUUUUAUAUUAACAAUUUUUGGAAGGUAUCAAUGUAAUUAGGGGUGGGUGAAAGAGUAUCUAUGAAAUUAAUCCUUUUUCAAUUUAUUUAUUUAAGACCUCUGUGAAUAAUGAUAUGAUAUUAAAUAAUAACUUUAAAAAUCAAAUCAAUAAACAAAUAAAAA